rnacentral:rRNA from 1 species
GAACCUGCGAAGGCAAGCGGAUCUCUUAAAGCCGUUCUCAGUUCGGACUGUAGGCUGCAACUCGCCUACACGAAGCUGGAAUCGCUAGUAAUCGCGGAUCAGCACGCCGCGGUGAAUACGUUCCCGGGCCUUGUACACACCGCCCGUCACACCAUGAGAGUCUGUAACACCCAAAGCCGGUGGGAUAACCUUUAUAGGAGUCAGCCGUCUAAGGUAGGACAGAUGAUUAGGGUGAAGUCGUAACAAGGUAGC